CUUUAUGGUGGCCGUGCGCAGGGCGCCUUCGUGCGCGCCGGGCCUAGUCACCGGUCUACUAACCUGCGUUCGGCCGCCACCCUA
rfam:Pseudomonas fuscovaginae strain IRRI 6609 Pf_IRRI_6609_contig_4.4, whole genome shotgun sequence.